AGACUCUUAACCCAAUGAUUUGUUUAUCCACACUGGUCUCCUUGCUGUUCAAACAUGCCAGGAAAACUCUCACUUCCGGGCCAUUGUACUGGCUGUUACUUCAGUCUGAAAAGCUUUGCCUUUCAAUGCUCUGGAGUGGAUGAUUUUCAAAAAUUGUUGAUGGCCAAUAAAAUGAGAUAGAAUAACCAAGUACCUGAAAAGUAAAGUGAAGAAUUAUGACAACCAUCUGGAUAUUUCAGCCUUGUGAACUCCAAUGGUGAGCUCCUGUCAACCAGUGAAACGUGUCUGUAUCCCUGCACCCAGAACAGUGCCUGGCAAACAGGGGGCCCUGUGGUAAGCGCUGGCCUGGCCGCCCAGAUCCCCCUUCAGGAAUGAAGACUGCUGGGAGUGCUGCUAAAAGACAGGCCUCACCUGUCAGCCCUUGCUGGGGAUUGCCUCCCCGUCUGCAACCAGUGACUGAUUCAUGCAGGGGUAUAAAGGCUGGAUGCCUUGUCCCAACUAGACACAACUCUGAGGGACCACCCUACAUCCCAGAACUUUCCAUGGAGUUGGCUGACACGUUCAAUGAGACUUCAUCAGAGCUCAACUCUGCCCAACUUGGCUUCCUUCCCUUCUCUCCUACAGGGUCAAUUUCAAAAGUACUCGCUAUCUAACAUACUGCACACUAAUAUCCAUCUCGUCUGCUUCCCAGGGAACCCUAACUGAAAUGGUGUCAGGCGGACACUAAGAAAAUAGAUGCCAAGAUGUGAAUUUGGAGGUGGAUCAUUUGCCAGCUGGCUGGUAAUAGGGACCUCAUUGCUGACAGAUGUGGAGCAAGAGAGUCCCUUACACUAGAUAGUGGUUCGAUUGUUAAGACUUUUCCUGGUGAUGAACCAGGAUUGUUUACUGGUGAAAAUAAAUGCAUUUUUUGGUACAUUGUAUGGACAUUUGAAAAGUAUGGGAGGAAUAGUAUCUAUAAAGACUUUAGAAUUGGAUGGCUAUUGCUAAGCUCAAUUGACACUGAGGGAAAAUAUAUAUAUAUAUUUAAAGCCAAAAGUGAUUUCUCAGCAAUUAAAACCAAGCUUGAAAGCCAAGGGGCUUCCUUGGUAACAUAAAAAGCAGCAGGAAGGCAUAGAAAGCUGAAGACCAGGCCUUAGACAGUAAAAGAAGACAAGAUCCAAAGAAUGUUAAACUCCCAAGCGAGGCUGGUCUUCUCACGUUGCUAAACAGGGAGCCCUGAUGCAUGGGACGUGGAUUUCUGGGGCGAUGCACCUGAAAAUCUUGAAUCCUAGGUACCGCAGUGUUCUAGAAUUGUUUAACAACUGGCUCUUCCAGUAUAUUAUUGGACAUACUGUUAAAUUUAUUCCACAGUAUUACUAUUUUCUCCAUCACUUCCUUUGUUUAGAUAAUCAAGCUCUGAUUUGUAGUAUUUGCCAAUUGCCAUGGGAUAAAUAACCCUACUGUGGUUCAUUUCAAGCCACCAAUGUGACAUCACUGAAAUGUGGAGUUGGGAAGAGAAGUAUUUCCUCCAAACAGAUAAUAAUAGAUGUAAAUAACUUCAAGAGUAUAGAUAUAGUAAAAUAAUUAGUAAAAUGUAGUAAAUAAAAUAGUAAAAUGUAGUAACAUAAUUAGGGAUUGAUGAGUUUUAAGUAUUUUUACCUUUGUUAUUAUUUUUAAUUUAAUCAUAAGCUUAUAUAAUUUAAUUUAAAAUAAUGGCUGUGUUUACAACAGGUUUAUAAAAUGUCUUUCUUAUUAUAAAGACAAUCUUUUCAUUACUAUUUUUAAUAUUAGAGGCAAUAGUUGCCAUC